AGAGUUAAAUAGUACGUGAAAUUGUUGAAAGGGAAACGAUUGAAGUCAGUCAUGCCAGUGAAAACUCAGUUUGGCGGAUUUUCAAGUUCAAGAGUAAAGGCAGGGUCAAACCGUCUCUCUUUUGGACUUGGAAUUUGCCAGAUGGAAUUUUUCUCUGACAGGUCAGCGUCGGUUUCGGUGGGUUGUAAAAUACUUGGGGUAAAGUAGCUCUGCUUCGGGAGAGUGUUAUAGACCUUGGGGGAUGCAGCCCGCGGGAUCGAGGAUUGCAGCAAAUGCUUUCGGGCUUGUCGCCUGAUCUCUGGAUGUUACCUUGCUUGUGACAACAUUCUUGCCACCUGCGAGUACUAAUGCUCAUUAGGUUAGAGCGAUCAAAAAUUUUGCUAAGGAUGCUGACGUAAUGGCUUUAAACGACC
rnacentral:rRNA from 1 species